UACGAAGGGGGCUAGCGUUGCUCGGAAUUACUGGGCGUAAAGCGCACGUAGGCGGCUUUCUAAGUCGGGGGUGAAAUCCUGGAGCUCAACUCCAGAACUGCCUUCGAUACUGGAAAGCUCGAGUCCGGGAGAGGUGAGUGGAACUGCGAGUGUAGAGGUGAAAUUCGUAGAUAUUCGCAGGAACACCAGUGGCGAAGGCGGCUGCACUGGCCCGGUACUGACGCUGAGGUGCGAAGCGUGGGGAGCAAACAG
rnacentral:rRNA from 1 species